rnacentral:rRNA from 1 species
AUACGGUGGGUGCAAGCGUUGUUCGGAAUUAUUGGGCGUAAAGAGCAUGUAGGCGGACUGUUAAGUCUGGUGUGAAAGCCCGGGGCUCAACCCCGGAAGUGCAUUGGAUACUGGCAGUCUUGAGUAUGGGAGAGGAAAGUGGAAUUCCGAGUGUAGGAGUGAAAUCCGUAGAUAUUCGGAGGAACACCAGUGGCGAAGGCGGCUUUCUGGACCAAUACUGACGCUGAGAUGCGAAAGCGUGGGGAGCGAACAGGAUUAGAAACCCUAGUAGUCC